AAAUUGAAGAGUUUGAUCAUGGCUCAGAUUGAACGCUGGCGGCAGGCCUAACACAUGCAAGUCGAGCGGAAACGAGUUAUCUGAACCUUCGGGGAACGUUAACGGCGUCGAGCGGCGGACGGGUGAGUAAUGCCUAGGAAAUUGCCCUGAUGUGGGGGAUAACCAUUGGAAA
rnacentral:rRNA from 1 species